GUCCAGUUUUCCCAGGAAUCCCUUGGGCAAUCACAAGGGGGAUUCCUGGAAAUACUGUUCUU
ensembl:miRNA MIR145 microRNA 145